rnacentral:ncRNA from 1 species
UGCUUUGGUCUGUCUUGCCUCUAUUUGGUUGGAAUGGUAUAAGCUUGCCUGACUGUGAGACCGACUGGGCAAACAGAGAUGAAAGUCGGCCAUAGUGAUCCAGGAGUCCAGUGUGGAAGGGCUUUCGCUCAA